rnacentral:misc_RNA from 1 species
CACCUGAAAUGGGGAUAAAUUUCUUCAAGGCCACCACCAUGCUUGUUCAACCACUCGAAGAGCUGUUGAAAGAGUAUCGUCCCAAUUGUCUAGUUGCAGAUACUUUCUUUCCAUGGUCAACUGGAGUUGCAUCCAAGUUAGGAAUUCCUAGAAUUGUUUUCUCUGGAACUUGUUUCUUCUCUUCAUGUGCUUCACAGUGUAUGAGAUUGUAUCAGCCUUACAAAAAGGUAUCAUCUGAAACAGAUCCUUUCAUCAUCCCCAAUUUUCCGGGCCAGAUCAAGUUGACAAGAAAGCAACUACCAGACUUUGUGAAAGAAGAAACUAGCUUCGCCGAAUUCUAUGAGCAAGUGAAAGAAGCAGAGCUUAAAAGUUUUGGGGUUCUUGUCAACAGCUUCUAUGAGCUCGAGCCCACUUAUGCUGAUCAUUUCAGGAAAGUCUUGGGAGCAAAGGCAUGGCAUAUUGGCCCAAUUUUCCUAUGCAACAGUAACAUUGAAGAUAAGGCAAAGAGAGGAAAAGAAGCUUCAAUAGAUGAAAAUCAGUGUUUGAAGUGGCUCGAUUCAAAGCAACACAACUCGGUUGUUUAUAUAUGCUUUGGAAGUAUUGCGAAAUUUCGUGCUUCACAACUUCUUGAGAUUGCAAUGGCUCUUGAAGAUUCCGGACAGCAAUUCAUCUGGGUAGUGAGGAAAAACAAGAAUGAUGUGCGGGAUAACGAAGUGUGGUUGCCUGAAGGAUUUGAGGAGAGAAUUGAAGGCAAGGGACUAAUCAUACGAGGGUGGGCACCGCAAGUAUUGAUUCUUGAACACGAAGCAGUAGGAGGGUUUGUGACUCACUGUGGAUGGAACUCUACACUUGAAGCAAUUUCUGCAGGAGUUCCAAUGGUAACAUGGCCAGUAUCUGCAGAGCAGUUUUAUAACGAAAAGUUGGUGACACAGGUUCUAGGAAUUGGGGUUGCCGUGGGUGCACAACAGUGGGCAAGAGUAGUGGAUGAUAGUGUGAAGAAAGAGGCCAUAAGGAAGGCAGUGACACAUCUUAUGGCCAGUGAAGAAGCAGAGGAAAUGAGAUUCAGAGCAAAAAAGCUUGGAGAAAUGGCAAGGAAAGCCAUUGAAGUAGGUGGAUCAUCUCAUUCUGAUUUUAAUUGCUUGAUUGAGGAAUUGAGGGGUGAGGGAAUGUAGAAUGUUAUUAUUCCCAAUUUGAUUUGUUUUCACUUCUUUUCAGCGUGUUCUGAAUAAGGGAUUUUUUUUUU